GAGGUAGCAUGAGAGUUAGAAUCGUGUUCACUUGUUGAAUUGUAUUUACUUGUUGCUUCAUAACCUAAGGGCAGUAGAAAAGAUCACAUCAAAGAAGAAACAGCAUAAAUUAGCAAGAAAUUAGGUUUCAAACAACCUUGCCAAAAUGCUUUCCAGUUCCAUAUAACUAUAGAUUUUAUGCUCCAAAAAAUGUCUGAUCAAACCAAAUAUCUUUGUAAUGUGAUUCCGUCUCACUUAACAAUCAUCCAAACUAGAUUGACAUGACAAGUCAACAACAAGCAGUACACAUUGCAAGGCGACAGAUUUAUCUUCACCUUAUUAAAGAAAUAACUCCUUCACCAUAACUUCGUGACUUUCUAAUGUUAAAGUCCUCAUUUUCAGUAGCCAAAAAUAUCGAAUGAAAUCCCCUAGGAGUUAUAAUGGAUUAACAAAUAGAAACAAACAUACAUAACAUAGAUGCUUAAACAGGAGUACAUGUUCUCAAAUCCUAGAGCAACAACAAUACUCACGUAAUCUAUACAGACAUAAGAUUCUAGUUUGAUAUAUCCGAAAGUUUAAAAUAUAUGUUAAAUAUUGGAAAUUCCAAUACUUCCCAUGCACUCAUAACUAGUUUUUUCAAUGACAUAAAUGGGGUGUCAUACAUACGUAAUAUGUUUAACUUUUGUAGCACGCAGGAAUCCUUCUUCCUUCCAAUCCACAUAAAUAAGAAAGAAGGCUCCACCCCAAAACUCCGAUUUGAAUGAAGCCACAAAGAAGGGUCCGUCCCAAUUUUCCAAUGAGGUCCAUCCGCAUAAACAAGCUCAUACCUUUUAUACCGAUACUCUUACUAUCCCCCUUGAAUGAAACAAGCAUUUCUACCCAAUUUAUCUGUUUCAAAUCCCCAAUUUUUCUGGUUAAGUAAGAGUUAUAGCAACAUAUUCCACUAUUAUAUGUCUUAUUCCGUGCUAAACCAUGUAAGAAAUUCAUUCAAUACAUUGAGGAGAUGAUAAAAGUAAAUGCAACACACGCCCUGGAGCCUGGACAUACACAAAAGAAAGAUGAAUCCUAACGUUGGAGGUCAUCUUAUAGAAACCACAAUAAACUCAAUUGAACAAAAGCGCUUUUCAGAUGCUCAAGCUAACCUGCUUUUAAAAGUGAACAAGAUCAAUCAAGAAAUUAUUGUAAAUUGUAAAAGCAAAUGAAGUAAGCAUAUUGCCAACUACAAUAGUUUAACCAGAGGUAUAAAGAACAACCAAAUCAGCGUAUAUGGCUUUUAUCCUACAUUACAUGUUCAGCAUUUCAGAGAAACAUAAAUUGGAUUUAACAAAGUUAUAAAAAGAAAACCUUACCUAAAGUUAACCAAUUGCUUGAAUGAUUGCCCACUAUGAAAAGCGAAAUGCCUCAUUUUUUUCCUAACUUCUGCCUCACUUAAGUGGAACCCUCUUAAUUUCUCCCAAUCCCAAACUCAAAAUCUCCACUUUCUUGCCUUUUCCCACACUUUCUCACAAUCCAAACAAACUCCUCUUCUUCAACACCGAGCCCCCGAG
rnacentral:lncRNA from 1 species